GUGGGUCUCGAUUGGAAGCGCCUAGUUUAUAGCAAGAAAAAUCAGCAACAAAUAUCCACUCUCUUAAAAGACCUAACAAAAGAAUCUUUGUUGAUAGAGAAAAAAAAAAUGCUGUAUUAACUGAGUGAAGGGCAUAGAGCCAAAAAAACAGAAGUAAAACGUUCCCCUUAAGGAAAAACAAUGGCCUAAUUAAAAAAUCGUUCAUGGCUGCUACUCAGCCAAUGCUCAUAUUGACAAUACUAAAUUUCAUGGCAAAGAGACCACAAAAACCACAAUAAAUUGCAAUAUAACAGCUAACAUAAU
rnacentral:misc_RNA from 1 species